AUAAACCGGAGGAAGGUGGGAUGACGUCAAGUCAGCAUGGCCUUUAUAUCCUGGGCUACACACACGCUACAAUGGGAAGGGACAAUAGGUGCGAAGCCGCGAGGCGGAGCCAAUCCAGCAAAACUUCCCUCAGUUCAGAUUGCAGGCUGCAACCCGCCUGCAUGAAGUUGGAGUUGCUAGUAAACGCAGGUCAGCCAUACUGCGUUGAAUACGUUCCCGGGCUU
rnacentral:rRNA from 1 species